rnacentral:rRNA from 1 species
CCUACGGGUGGCAGCAGUGGGGAAUAUUGCACAAUGGGCGCAAGCCUGAUGCAGCCAUGCCGCGUGUGUGAAGAAGGCCUUCGGGUUGUAAAGCACUUUCAGCGGGGAGGAAGGCGUUAAGGUUAAUAACCUUGGCGAUUGACGUUACCCGCAGAAGAAGCACCGGCUAACUCCGUGCCAGCAGCCGCGGUAAUACGGAGGGUGCAAGCGUUAAUCGGAAUUACUGGGCGUAAAGCGCACGCAGGCGGUCUGUCAAGUCGGAUGUGAAAUCCCCGGGCUCAACCUGGGAACUGCAUUCGAAACUGGCAGGCUAGAGUCUUGUAGAGGGGGGUAGAAUUCCAGGUGUAGCGGUGAAAUGCGUAGAGAUCUGGAGGAAUACCGGGGGCGAAGGCGGCCCCCUGGACAAAGACUGACGCUCAGGUGCGAAAGCGUGGGGAGCAAACAGGAUUAGAACCCUAGUAGUC